rnacentral:lncRNA from 1 species
CAAUUUUUCUCUUCCAAUCUUUUAUAUAUAUAUAUAUAGUCAAGCUAAAAUCGAUCAAAUUUGAAGUCAAGUCCGAUCAUAUUAAAAUUUUAUAAUAGAGGCCCUAUAUCAAUAAUCUAAACUAUUGCAUGUGAUCUAUUACUUCAAAACUGUCUGCAUACAAAAAAAAAUCAUAUGAUUUGGAGCCUUCUGACCUAUAUAUCAAGUAGUCAAAAAUUGAAUAAUCUAAAUAAAAUUAAAUUAGAUAUUUUUUUGAUCAAUUAAUGCAU